rnacentral:misc_RNA from 1 species
GUUGCCUCCAAAUUGACAACAUAAAAAGUUGCAUUGUGUGGAUAAAUUUGUUCCCAAUGCAAAUUAAGCACUGGGAAAUGAACAUACGCAACACUAAUAAUAAGUGGUAGGAAUAGAAAUUUGCAACCAAAUUAAAGCAUUAACAGUACAAUAUUAUUAAUGCAAUGAAAAGCGUAUGAAAUUUGAAUUUACCAACAAUUGGUAAAAUAUUUUUUGCCUAUAUUUUUUUCAUUGCACUAAAAGGUAUAGAAAUACCAAGGUACUAACUACUGAAGCAUCUAGUGAAGAAAACACAUCACUAAUGGUAAAGAUACAUAACUAUGCUUCACUUAAAAUAAUAAUUUUUUAUUAAUUAAAAUAUCCAAAAAUUUACAUAUUUAAUAUGAUAUUGUAUUGCCAAAUGCUAAAGCAUUUUAAUAAGCUUUGUUAAUUUUUGUUUGCCCCAGUUAAUUAUUACUUCUAAUUAAGUGAUACU